UACGGGGGGUGCUAGCGUUGUUCGGAAUUACUGGGCGUAAAGGGCGCGUAGGCGGUCUGCUAAGUUGGAUGUGAAAACUCUGGGCUUAACCCAGAGCCUGCAUUCAAUACUGACAGGCUAGAGUUCUGGAGGGGAUAGCGGAAUUCCUGGUGUAGCGGUGAAAUGCGUAGAUAUCAGGAGGAACACCGGUGGCGAAGGCGGCUAUCUGGACAGAGUCUGACGCUGAGGCGCGAAAGCUAGGGGAGCAAACAGG
rnacentral:rRNA from 1 species